rnacentral:rRNA from 1 species
CAGUAGCCGCGGUAAAACGUAGGGUGCAAGCGUUAAUCGGAAUUACUGGGCGUAAAGCGUGCGCAGGCGGUUCUAUAAGACAGAUGUGAAAUCCCCGGGCUCAACCUGGGAACUGCACUCGUGACUGUAGAGCUGGAGUACGGCAGAGGGGGAUGGAAUUCCGCGUGUAGCAGUGAAAUGCGUAGGUAUGCGGAGGAACACCGAUGGCGAAGGCAAUCCCCUGGGCCUGUACUGACGCUCAUGCACGAAAGCGUGGGGAGCAAACAGGAUUAGAUACCCCCGUAGUCCCUGUCUCUUAUAC